CACCAUUUGUGAUUUUUGUUUAUCUUCUUCUUCUAUUUCCCUCAACCGACUCUUCCCCCACACUGCACCUCCAAACAACGCAGCCCCUCACCCCUCUCUCGGCCACAAACAAAACUGCAAGCCUCCCUCCUCAGCAGACCCAACAGCCACUUUCCUCCCCCCACACGGUUUCAAUCUCCAUUUUCGCCAAAACACAAACCAGGCCACACCCAUCCGCAGCCUCCCUCUCUCGGUUCUCCCAGAAGCAGAGGUCGUUUGUUGCCUCCAUAGUCCCAGCCACACCAGCUCACUGCCUCCAGCAGUCUUCGUCAUCUCCUUCGGCGCCGUCUCCAGCAACCUCGCCCAGCAGCAGCGUCGGUCCAUCCCAUCAGCGCCGUUCGAAGAUCCAGCAACCAGCAGAGGAACGAAAACAGAGGCGAGAUCGAUCUGAAGAAGGAAAAGAACCGAUCUGCUUCUGCAGAUAAAAAAGAAGCAGAUCUAUAACGGGAAGAAAAAAAUUAAAAUCGACUGGAUGUGGGGUUUUUGUUUGAGAUUUGCAGGUGACAGACAGUAGGGGAUUGAAGAGAGGAAUAAGCCAUUACAGCCCCCCCCCCAUUUUCGGUUGUUUUCACGGCGGCGCGUGGACCCACGCGCCGCCAGUGGCGGUGGUGCGUGAGGUCCACGCGCCGCACUGUUACCGAGCCCAGAAACCAUGACGAACACUGUUCCCGCUGCAGAAGUCCCUCCUUGAAAUUUUUAGAACUUUAGGGACUGUUUCUUGUAACUUGUAAAUUAAUUAAUGUAAUUUUUAUUUAUUUAUUUUGAAGUUGUAUUUGUAUUUUUAUUGGGAUG
rnacentral:lncRNA from 1 species